UCUGUAUGUUCCUUUUGUACUCGUGAGCCAGUUUGAUUCUGGUGCCACAGGAGUCAGAAAGCUAUGGACUAGAAGAUCUUUUAAAUUCUUUGAUCUUCGAGCCGUAAUUGUUGGAUAAUUAGGCAGUGACUGUUUCAACAUGGGAUUAUGUAAAAGAAUAGGCCAAUGCGUAGAAAAAGUUUUUGUCAUUUUGCUCCAACCACUAUCAAAAGUGGCGAUACAUCUCGGAGUUGGGAUAUUU